GUGUCAGCCGCCGCGGUAAUACAGAGGGUGCGAGCGUUGUCCGGAAUCACUGGGCGUAAAGGGCGCGUAGGCGGUCGGGUAAGCGUGUGGUGAAAGUCCGGGGCUCAACCCCGGAUCGGCCAUGCGAACUGUCCGACUGGAGCACGGUAGAGGCACAUGGAAUUCCGGGUGUAGCGGUGGAAUGCGUAGAGAUCCGGAAGAACACCGGUGGCGAAGGCGGUGUGCUGGGCCGUAGCUGACGCUGAGGCGCGACAGCGUGGGGAGCAAACAGGAUUAGAAACCCGCGUAGUCC
rnacentral:rRNA from 1 species